GUGAAUCAUCAAAUUUUUGAACGCACAUUGCACUCCCUGGUAUUCCGGGGAGUAUGCCUGUUUGAGGGCCGUUAGAAUAAAAAAUCGGGGCGUCGCUCUUUUUUUUAGGGGUGAUCGCGUCGGUGGUGAGCCUUCUUUCAAAUGUUAAUUCAUGUCAAAGUGGCUUGAAAUUCAUCCAGCCGGUACGAUUAAAGCGUAUUG
rnacentral:misc_RNA from 1 species